UACAAUGAUACCUAGCUAUAUUCUUAGACUAUAAUAAUUAUUAUUCGACUCGGGUUGUGAAUGAAAACAGUCAAUAUACUAAUCUUCGACUACAGCGGUCAUCGAGACGAAUCUUCAGUCCGAUGGUCUCACAAUACAGCAUAUAUACAAAAGUAUUUUUAAAUUUUUAAAUCAAGUACGAACUUCCGAUAUGGGUGAGGUCGUAGUGAUUAAAGUGACGCUGUAAGUGUAUCGAAUUAUUACAAAACCAUGAUAGUGUGAGGUGGUCGUCACACGACCGCCACAAUCGUGAUACACCACCGACACUUGUCAUCGUAAAAUAUUACGACAUAAAAAAAAAAGAAAAAAUCAUGUUCGACGUUGGUGUCAUUUAAGACUUUUCAAACGGCGUGUUUUCGUUUGUGCGAACAAACGUAUAUGAAAACAUCGACGACGCAUGCACGACCCGCCCCAAAGUAAAAAUAUAGAAGAAAUGUCCAUUUUCGCGAAUUGGAUCGUUAACCAUGGAAUUUCCUGUGGACACGUGGCACACGUUCAAAUAGCGUGAUUAGAUUAAAUUUGUUUCAUUUUACAUUUUUUUUUUUUUUAAAGAAUUUUCUUAUUCUGUAUUGAACGUUUAAGAUUUAUUUUCAGUGUUGUGAAUAGUAUUUAUUUACAUUUAAAAACAAAUUCUACAUAAGAUCCAUUUUGUACAUUUAACAGAAAAAAAAACAAUGUUUGGUACUUCUGGGCCUCGGCUUAUUUAUUUUAUAUUACCUAUUUAAUCGUAUCUCAAAAACCUAUUUAAACCUUUAUUUUACAUAAUCACAUGUAUAAGAAAUUGAAAUGUAUGUUAACGAAUCAUUGAAAAUUGUAAUUAUGUAUAAAUAAUGUGUACAUUUAACUUUUUCCAUUUAUAUUUAAUAUAAUCUA